ACGGGAGGCAGCCUUCUUGCAUAUUGCACAAUGGGGGAAACCCUGAUGCAGCAACGCCACGUGUGGGAAGAAGCAUUUCGGUGUGUAAACCACUGUCGUGAGGGAAUAAGGCUAUUUCUCGGAAUAGUUGAAUGUACCUCGAAAGGAAGCACCGGCAAACUUCGUGCCAGCAGCCGCGGUAAUACGAGGGGUGCAAGCGUGGUUCGGAAUCACUGGGCGUAAAGGGAGCGUAGGCGGAGAUGCAAGCAGUCUGUACAAUACCGGGGCCCAACCCCGGACCUGCAGACUGGACUGUGUCUCUUGGAUAGUUCAGGGGCUGGCGGAAUUCCUGGUGUAGCGGUGGAAUGCGUAGAGCUCAGGAAGAACACCGAUGGCGAAGGCAGCCAGCUGGGGACUCAUCGACGCUGAGGCUCUAAAUUGCGGGUAGCAAACAGGAUUAGAUACCCUGGUA
rnacentral:rRNA from 1 species